rnacentral:rRNA from 1 species
UAGGGAAUCUUCCACAAUGGACGCAAGUCUGAUGGAGCAACGCCGCGUGAGUGAAGAAGGCUUUCGGGUCGUAAAACUCUGUUAUUGAAGAAGAACGUGUGUGACAGUAACUGGUCAUGCAGUGACGGUAUUCAAUCAGAAAGUCACGGCUAACUACGUGCCAGCAGCCGCGGUAAUACGUAGGUGGCAAGCGUUGUCCGGAUUUAUUGGGCGUAAAGCGAGUGCAGGCGGUCUUUUAAGUCUGAUGUGAAAGCCUUCG